rnacentral:rRNA from 1 species
AAUGAACGUUGGCGGCAUGGAUUAGGCAUGCAAGUCGAGCGAGAAGAGUUUUGAAGCUUGCUUUAGAACUCGGACAGCGGCGAAAGGGAGAGUAACGCGUAGUUAUGUGCCCUAGGGUCCGGAAUAGCCACGGGAAACUGUGGGUAAUGCCGGAUAAUAUCCCCGGAUCAAAGGUGUGAUUCCGCCCUAGGAGCAGACUGCGUCCUACUAGCUAGUUGGUGGGGUAAUGGCCUACCAAGGCAACGAUGGGUAGCGGGUGUGAGAGCAUGACCCGUCUGACUGGGACUGAGACACUGCCCAGGCACCUACGGGUGGCUGCAGUCGAGAAUCUUCGGCAAUGGGCGAAAGCCUGACCGAGCGAUGCCGCGUGCGGGAUGAAGGCCCCCGGGUUGUAAACCGCUGUCGUAGGGGGGGAAGGUUCCGUGAAGAGCGGAAUUUGACCUAUCCUAGGAGGAAGUACGGGCUAAGUUCGUGCCAGCCGCCGCCGUAA